rnacentral:lncRNA from 1 species
UAUUCUGUUAGGAAAUAUCCUGUUGAUGGCUAUUUGGAUUGUUCCCAAGUUUUGGAUAGAGUGAGUAAAGUUGCUUAUCCAAGUCUCUUGUGGCAACAUGCCUUCAUUUUCUUUUCAGCAAAUGCCUCAUAGUGGAAUUGCUGGAUCACAGGAAAGAUGUCUAUUUAACUUUGUGAGAAACUGCCUAGAGUUUUCGCAGCACAGUUUUACCAUUAAUGUUCCCACCAGCCAAGUAUGAGAGUUUCACUGGCCCCACCUCCUCCCCACUUGCUGUUUGCCGUCUAUUUUGUCUGAACCAUCAAGGUGGGUGUGACUUUCUAAUUGUGGGUUUAAAAGGCAUUUCCCUGAUGUGAUGGGAAUGAGUUCUGUUUUUAUUUCUCUGAAAGUGCCUUUAUUUCACCCUUAUUUUAACAAGACAUGUUCUUUGGUGCAUUAGUCUGUUUUCAUGCUGUUAAUAAAGACAUACCCGAGACUCAGUAAUUUAUAAAGAAAAAGAGGUUUAAUGGACUCAGUUCCACAUGGCUGAGGAGGUCUCACAACCAUGGCAGGAGGCGGAAGGCAAAAGGAACUCUUACAUGGAAGCAAGGCAAGACAGAAUGAGAACCAAGCAGAAGGGGUUUCCCCUUAUAAAACCAUCAGAUCUCGUGAGACUUACUCACCACCACGAGAACAGUAUGGGGGAAACCACCCCCAUGAUUCAAUUAACUCCCACUGGGUCCCUCCCGCAACACGUGGGAAUUAUGGGAGCUGCAAUUCAAGAUGAGAUUUGGGUGGAGACACAGCCAAACCAUAUCCCUUGUAUAUAAAAAUCCAGACGAGUGGCCGACUCUGGAGCCCAGGAUGUUGCUUCCCAGUUUGGUGGUGAAUCCUCCACAGUCUGGUGAGUGUAAAUAUCUUUUCGCUUCACCUCUUUUCACUGCAAUUUGCUUAUUAUAUGAAUCUGCUUAUUAUAUUGAUUGUCUUAUUAUAUCUUUGCUUAUUAUACCAUUUCCUUAUUAUAUUUGCAUUGCCUUGUUUACCCUUAAAGGUAUUGUGUGUGUGCCUUUUC